GACGAACGCUGGCGGCGUGCUUAACACAUGCAAGUCGAACGGAAAGGCCUGCUUUCCCUUGUGGAUUGCGGGUACUCGAGUGGCGAACGGGUGAGUAACACGUGAGUGAUCUGCCCCCAACUUGGGUAUAAGCCUGGGAAACUGGGUCUAAUUCCCGAUAGGACUGCAGGGUGGUGCCUGUGGUGGAAAACGAUUUUCUAGUGGUUGGGGAUGAGCUCGCGGCCUAUCAGCUUGUUGGUGGGGUAAUGGCCUACCAAGGCGGCGACGGGUAGCCGGCCUGAGAGGGUGGACGGCCACAGUGGGACAGAGAUACGGCCCAGACUGCUACGGGAGGCAGCAGUGGGGAAUAUUGGACAAUGGGCGGAAGCCUGAUGCAGCGACGCCGGGUGGGGGAUGACGGCCUUCGGGUUGUAAACUCCUUUCGACCGAGAGGAAGCCACCUGGUUGGAAGGGUGGUGACGGUAGUGGUAGAAGAAGCACCGGCUAACUACGUG
rnacentral:rRNA from 1 species